CGGCCGGGUCCCCUUCUCCUGGGAGCCUGGGCGUGGUCUCCCGUGUCCGGAGCUGCGUCCUUCCUUGCGCUCCACGAAGGUGCCUAAAGCGGCGCCGCGCGUUCAUGAAGAAGUUGCUGACGGUGUUGAGCUCCAAGCCGAGCUGCUGCGAGAUGGUGACCUGCAUCUCCUUGGACGGCCGCUUGUUCUCCUUGAAGAUGGCGAUCAGCGUGCGUCGCUGCAGGCUGAGACCACCCAGACUUGGCCUCCCUCGAGCACCCAGUGGACCCUCUGGAGCGCAGAACAUCUAAGAAAGAAGACUUUGGAGGAGGAGGGGAGAGUGCAGGGACCACCUCUUCCUCUCCCAGAUGAGCAGGUCACCCUUCCUCUUGGUCAGCCCGCACAGAUCACGGAGAGGGCUGAAGGAGGCUGCCCCAUGGCCUGCAGACCAGACACUUGCAAAGGGGAGAAAAGCAAAGGCUCGGGGUGAUGGGGCAGGGCUGAAGCCGAGUCCUGCUCUUCCUGCUCCAGCAGCGAAGUGAACCCCUCCCCUCAAUGCAGUGGGUGUCAGUGGGUACAAAACACAGGCUUCCCCCACUAGGAGCUGGGCCACAAGUCAGAUGGGCUCAUUUGUGGCAUCAGCUUGAAACUCCAUCAGAAUCUCAAUUUCUCUCCUGCAUCCAGACUGGGACUGUGGUGCUGAAGAGGCUGUCCUGCCCUUGUCUCCAUCCCGGAGUUCCAGCUACUCUGUGACCCCCAGAAGUGGCCGGUGGUGCAGAACAGCCUGGAACAUGACAUGCUAGAUCAAUGUCCAUACACGUCCACAGAAAUAAAUGAAUGUUCCUUCUGCCAUGACUCAUGUCUCGGGGACAACAGCAAAAAGAGGCUCUGCUGCCCCCCUUCCCGGCGUUCAAUCUAAUUACAGCUCCUCACAGCCCAGAUCGAUCCAGUCGGAGCUGUUUACCGCGAGCAGCUUUGUCAUUGCUCCCAUCCCCCACAGCCGCUGACAGAGGAUGCCCACUCCAUGCAGCCAGCCCUGCACCUCCUCCAGGACCCUGGGGACUGAGGCCCUGAUUCCAGGAGCAAUCACCCCCGAGAGGCUCUGAUCUGAGGACUCCAGGUUCCUGGUUUAUCAAGUGGACGCAGUGACCCAGAGCCCUGUGUCCCCACCGGGCCGCAGUCCCGAGAGUCACGAAGGAAUGAACGCCGAAGCACGGACCUGCAACCGACUCAUCCAUUCACCAUUCAGGGAGCAGCUGCUGCGUGAGGCCAGAGAGAGGCAGCUCCAGGAGCUGGCCUCCACUCACAGUCACAGGACAGCGUGAAGCGGCGGCUGCCUGGGACUCUGUUCCCCAAUGAGGAGGCCAGCUCCGCUCUGAGUCCAGGAAAGGGGGAGAGAGGACGCCUUUGGGUGGGUACUGGAGGGGAGGCGCGGGCUCCACUGGGCUCUCUGAGGCCUUCGAGUGGAUACACUGCUGGCUGGGAGGGAGGAUGGACCAGAAGACCAGGCCCAGGCUUCGGGACAGCUGGAGGGAAGGUCCCUGAAUCCCAGUGGACGCCAGCAGUGCUGGGGGCGGCACGGCAGGAGAGACACAAGCCAGGGUGGCACCAGGACGGGAGGGAUGUGGAGGCUCCUGGGGGGUCCCCAAGGUCCAGGGAGGAGAUCAAAGAGCAACUAGAGGAGAUGGAGACCAGCUGGGCAAUGCCCAAGGGAGAAGAAGACGCCCCAGGAUGCAGCAAUGGGCGAUUCAAGUGACCAUCCCAUGUCCCUCUGUGCCCGACAGUCUGUACAGUGCCCCAAACCACCAAGCCACGUGAGUCUACCCCGCUGUGUGCCCGUCCUCCCUGUGUCCUGGAGCUGGAGAUCCCCUCCCUCAGCCACCUCUGGCUUCAGGGAGCAGACAAUUCAAUAUGGAGCCCGGUCUCCGGCUGGGAUGAUGACCGGUUUCCUUGGCGACGCGUCCUGUCCCCGCCACCAGCUGCCCUGCCCCAGAUGUGGGUUGUACUGAUGCCCCCCACCCCCAUGCUGGUGUCUUGUCCCC
rnacentral:lncRNA from 1 species